AUUGAACGCUGGCGGCAUGCCUUACACAUGCAAGUCGAACGGCAGCACGGGAGCAAUCCUGGUGGCGAGUGGCGAACGGGUGAGUAAUGUAUCGGAACGUACCUUUCAGUGGGGGAUAACGUAGCGAAAGUUACGCUAAUACCGCAUAUUCUGUGAGCAGGAAAGCAGGGGAUCGCAAGACCUUGCGCUGAUUGAGCGGCCGAUAUCAGAUUAGCUAGUUGGUGAGGUAAAGGCUCACCAAGGCGACGAUCUGUAGCGGGUCUGAGAGGAUGAUCCGCCACACUGGAACUGAGACACGGUCCAGACUCCUACGGGAGGCAGCAGUGGGGAAUAUUGGACAAUGGGCGCAAGCCUGAUCCAGCCAUGCCGCGUGAGUGAAGAAGGCCUCGG
rnacentral:rRNA from 1 species